rnacentral:misc_RNA from 1 species
AUUAACUUUUUCUACAUUUUUAUUUGUUUAGAAAUUAUUUACAAACGAUGCUCACUACUUACUGUUAAAAUUUUCCUGCUGAUGAUGCAGACAUGGUUGCAGCUCAAAACAAAGCUAUAAUUGAAGUUGUUCAAGAACUUGUACGACAGCCGACUCAACCAAAUACAUGUGUUAAAGAUCAGAGCUAUGAAUUCAUUGAUAGUAAUUGCAGAAGUUAGAAAUACAAGCAUCAAUAAUAUUAUUGGGCCAAGUAGAAAACUGCUCAUUAAUUAUGUUCCAUUGCGAAAACACAAUCUACGACACCAGCCUGUGCUAUCUCAAAUAGCAUUGUUAGAUGGGAAUACUUUCUGCAUCACUUUAGAACCUCGUCUUUUCUCAUAUGGGUAAGCUAAGUAAGAUCCAAGUCAAAGUGAAGGUGUAUGAAAAUGCAUAAAGGUGUGCAUUGUGAAUGUGCAAAAAUAGUGUCUUAUUGCUGUUAGGAUGCAAGGUUCUUUGAUUCUUUUUGAUAUUCUUUCAAACCAAAACUUUAAUGAUUGCAGCAAAGAAAGGGCAAAACCUGAAGUUCUUGAAAGCUUUGAAAGUAACCAGCAAGAGUUAGAAAGCUUUGUAGAUAUUGAACAUCUUUUAAGAACUUUGAAUUUGGCAGAAUAUUUAGAUACUUUUAAUGUGGACGAAAUUAAUUUAUCAACACUGGUGAGGGUUGACCGAAAAGUUUUCCUCUUUAAUAUGAAAACUAUUUCAUGUUAUUCAUAGGUGGUGUAUUUAGCUUCAACCAAAUUUUAGAGUUCUUUAUCUAUAUUUUAGUUCUUUUUAUCAGAUGAAUAUUUGAAGAACAUGGGCUUACCUAUUGGUCCGUGUCGAAAAUUGAUGAAUGCUGUUAAGACAAAUUUAUGCUUUUUUAUGUAGUAUUUUUUUUAAUAAAAUAACACAUUUUUUUAAAUCAUAGCUUUUAAUACAUAACACACUUUGAUUUGUUAAAAACUCCAAUAAUAGCAGUAAAAUUUACAUUUUUGAAGAUUGUUUUUUUUUUUUUAAAUUUUAUAUUUAUCGCUUAAAAUGAGUUUAAACCUUUUAAUAUGGUUUAUUCAUAGGAUUGUAUACGAUCAUAUGGUUAUAAAUUAUGUCUCUUAAAUUAUAUUAGCAUAUUUGCUAAAUUAUUUUUUAAUUUCUUCCUAUAUCUUAUGUAGUUAGCUUUUGUGGUGUUUGUGAAUUUUGUUUUCAUUUGUUUAAAAUCAUUACAUAUGUUUAUGCUUUAUUUGAGCAUUUCUUUGUUAUUUGUUUGACCUUUCACAUAAAAAUGCAAUAUCUUUUUUUUAGAAAUUUUUUGUUGAAAUUUCGGCUACAAUAUCAAUAAAAUUUUAUAUGAAAUUGAACACUCAACUAUUAUAAUGUAACUGUUUAAGAAAAAUUUCUUGAUAUAUAUUUACUUUGCUUAUAUAUAUUUUUUCAUUUUGUGUGCUACAAAAUUAUGCAUGCCCUACAAUUUCUGUUAAAUUUAAUUCUUUAUGUGCUUCAUUAAAACUAUUAAAAUGUAAAUUAAAUAAGUUUUGAAUUGAAAAAUUAUUGCAACAUGAACAAGAGUUUUAAUUUUGUUAUUUUCACAUUUAACUUAAUUCUUUUUUAUCCAACUAAUCUAAAAUUUCGCGAUUGGAUUCAAGCCAAGGGACUAAGCUGAUCAAUCCAUAAUUUAAUUAUAUUUUUAGGUAGAGCUAGCUGCUAGUGCUUGCACUAGAGUGUAUGGAUGUGUUGUUGUGUUGCAAAACAAGUUUAGAUUUCCUAUUCUUCUUCAAAAACGUAUCAAGUUUGUCCUAUAGAACUUUUUGACAGUAGUCCUUGUUAUCCAUUUUAUGUAAAGUAAAGGCUAAAUUUAGUUUACCUUGUUUACUGUAGGCUUCCUAGGAGAAUUUUUUCUUUUGACAAAUCCCUCCAAUAAUAUGAGUAUCCAUCUGGGCAUUUUAUAAAUUAAAUUUUUGGUCACUAAAAAUAACCUAUAAUUAAAAUUACCAAUUUUGAGAAUAGUGGUUUCAUCGCAACGAAAAUUUUUAGUUUAAUAUUUAUUAGUGACUAAUUACUAUUCAUGUUUUUUUUCUUCAAAAAUUUAAUCUUGUGACUUUAAGAUGAGGUUUCUGACUUUCCCUUUAUUGCUCAGAGAACUGAAUCCUUUAAAACAUCUAGGUUGAAUUUUGUUCAUACUUCAAACAUUGACUUAUUUGACACUGUUUGAAUAAUUUUUUUUCUUCCCAAUGAAAAAGCUUUUGAGGAUGUCCUGUAUAUUUAUUCAACUCUUAGAUAUACUCUUUAGUUAAAAUGUAAAUUGCACCUAUUAAAUGUUUUAGAAUGUACAUAUAUCCUUUACAUAUACUCUAAAGUGCCAUCAUCUGACCUUUCUCUAGGUCAGACAGCUGAGUUUCGUAGGGCAAGAAAUAAAAUUGAAAUUUCAAUAUCAAAAUGAAAGCAGAAUAUAUAUAUUUUUGUGAUUUUUUUCCCUUCCUAUUUGUAUGAUGCAGCUAAAAUCAAAAUAAAUAAUUUGCAGUCUCACAUGAAUUUGUAGUAAGUAUUUUUUUAAAUAAAAGCUAAUAAAUUACGAGCAGCUAGUAGUAUGUGCAUAUUUUUUUCCUCACUGACUAUAGUUGCUCCUGUAAAAUUUUCAAAAACUUGUUACCAAAGAUUUAAUAAAAAAACUUGAGGUAUUUGCUAAAUAUUUCUGAAUCUAAUAUAAUUCCGUAGUGUAUAAAUCAGGUUAGAAUAAGUGUAUAUGAUUUGUAUAACAAAAAGCCACAAUAUUUUACUCUUGUAUUAUAUGAAAAACACAAGAUGAAUUUUGUUUUGAUAUUAUUAUGAUAAAUAUUAUCAAAAUACAUUGUAUACAAUACUAAAGAGGCUUGUGGAUUAAAAUAUUUUUGUAUUA